rnacentral:rRNA from 1 species
GACGAACGCUGGCGGCGUGCCUAAUACAUGCAAGUAGAACGCUGAAGCUUGGUGCUUGCACCGAGCGGAUGAGUUGCGAACGGGUGAGUAACGCGUAGGUAACCUGCCUGGUAGCGGGGGAUAACUAUUGGAAACGAUAGCUAAUACCGCAUAAGAGUAGAUGUUGCAUGACAUUUGCUUAAAAGGUGCAAUUGCAUCACUACCAGAUGGACCUGCGUUGUAUUAGCUAGUUGGUGAGGUAACGGCUCACCAAGGCAACGAUACAUAGCCGACCUGAGAGGGUGAUCGGCCACACUGGGACUGAUACACGGCCCAGACUCCUACGGGAGGCAGCAGUAGGGAAUCUUCGGCAAUGGACGGAAGUCUGACCGAGCAACGCCGCGUGAGUGAAGAAGGUUUUCGGAUCGUAAAGCUCUGUUGUAAGAGAAGAACGAGUGUGAGAGUGGAAAGUUCACACUGUGACGGUAUCUUACCAGAAAGGGACGGCUAACUACGUG